rnacentral:lncRNA from 1 species
UUCUGUUUUGAAUAUGCGCGAGGAGAGAAGAAGCCUCGAUGGGUUAAAAUCUUCACACCAUAUUUCAAUUACAUGCAUGAAUGCUUUGAGAGGGUGUUCUGCGAGCUCAAGUGGAGAAAAGAGAAUAUUUUCCAGAUGGCGAGGUCACAGCAGAGGGAUGUGGCCACCUAGCCUUUCCUCAUCCCUUUAUCUUCUCUUUGCCCUCAGCCUCUUAGCCUUUUCGUCUCCCAUGUCAGACAGUAACCAUUAACACAAAAGAAGAAAAAAAGGAAAAAAAAGUCACUAUGUCCCAAAGUCCUAAGCUAAAUAUUAUUAAUAACUUCCUGAGAAUUUCCCGUCUCUGGAACUGAGCUGGUAGAGAGCAGGUUGAUAGUACCAGAAGUCCACUGAGAUCAGACACACAAGCCCAGCCAACACGCCAAAGUCAUCUUUGUCGUUUGACCCGGGCCUCAUACCAACAGACUCUCCUUGUACUAUAUUUUUAAAACUGGAACUAUGAACUCCAUCCAUUUGCACUGUUCAAGCAUAUAUAUGUAUGUAUGUAUGUAAAAAUUAUAUAUACACAAAUUAGCUGCACGUAUAUACAUAUAUAUAUUUCUUUUUAAAUUUCAUAUUGAUGGCAGUACCUUUUUUAGCUUGUGUUUUUACACACCUUUCACAGAAUUCAUGACCUCUCUCUUGCUCUCUUUAUUUUGAAACAAACUUUAAAAAGGAAAAAAAAAUACAGGGAAAAUACCUCUCCUCAUGAAGGACUCGAAAAGUUUACAACCUGCUUGGGUUUUCUUCCCUUUUUUGUAUUGAGUACAGUUUCUGGCUGUUGGUUUGCCAUAGAGUCUGAGGAUCGAGGAGUGUAGUGUCUUUAUCUUCAAGAGGGUGCUGAGGAGGAGAAAGGCCGUUUCUCAAGAGCAGUUGAGGCUGCAGGGAGUCUAAAGACCUAGAGUCUCGAUUCCAAGUCAUUUUCCAAGCCAUGGUCCAUCGAUCGACGUUGAGUCCGUCCUCCAUCUCCUUCCUGUUUCUUUAGGGUCUUUUAUUAUGCUCCCUUUUAACUGACCCAAAACAGUUCAGGGUAAUCUGAGGAAGCUGUUAUAGUAGGAAACUUUUUCUUCUGCAACAGGGGUUGUAUCAGGACUAACCCUGACAUCAGAGGUUGGACAGAUGGAGGAAAGGGAGGAUGGAAGCUGUGCCUCAGAUUUAUAAGGGCCUUACCUCUUCCAUUCCUGUCCAGUAACCAUCUAUUUUACAUCCUCUGUGAGUUCUUUAAACAGCUGUACGUGGAAGGAGUGUCUUGGGUAAACUUAGAGUCUGGGUUGCUGCCAACCAAAUCAGAGCCCUGUUCAUGACAGCUGAGGGCCCAAGAAGUGGGAGUAUGGUCAAUUUUAGUUCACCACCACCAUUUACUUCAAAGGAGACUGAAGAGAAAUCUCUUAAAGAGUUCUUUACCUGGAGCUGGGGCUGGUCCCGAGGCUGAGGCUGGGGCCGGGAGUGUUUGCCUAGCCUGCAUAAAGCCCUCAAUUCCAUCCCCAGCACCACAUAAAAUUUGGGUGUUGGGGUAUUGUAGCACACACCUGUAAUCUCAGCACGUGGGAGGGGAAUGCAGGAAACUCAGAAUUUUCAAGUCCACCUCUGCUAACUAAUGAGUUCAAGGCUAUCCUGGAUCACAUAUCUCAAAAGUAGAAGAGUUCCUUACCUGCCCCUGCACUUAGACCUCCUAGGACCUAAAAGCAACAUUUGGGACAGAGGCCAGGCUGGCACUAGAGUAAUAGUCUCAAACCUUGAGUGUAAAGAACUCUGAGGUUAGGUACAACUAAAACACGUCUUUGAAACUCUUUAUCUACUUUUCCUUCGAUAUUGAAGCCUCCACAGGCUUCGUCUUUGGCUUUAUGUAGCUGAAAGGCAGCCAGAAUUGGAUGUAGUUGGCAGUGUUGGAUUUGGUUUAAAGUUUCUUUCAUGCCUUGGUUUUGCAGAGCAUUCAUUAUGAGGCUACUUUUCUGUCUCCAUUAUUCUGGCAGCCACUUGUCGCAGGAAGGUGUAAACACACCUUUUAGGAUAGUCUUUCCCUCCCCUGUCCAAACCCGUGGGACC